GCAUUUUGAUGAUGAAGCAGAGCCCAAUGAUCAAGCAUUUGAGAUAGAAACAUUUAUGGGAAAUUUUUUUAAAUUCUCUGUUUUCUUAGGAUUUUAAAACUAGUUUUGACUUUGAAAGCCUAGAAUGUCAGAUCUGGGAAGAUCUCGAAGAGAUCAUUGGUUCAUUCUUCAGAUGGUGAAAGCGUGCCUGGAGGAGUAAAGAGACCAUCCAAAGGCAUUCCAAGUACUAAUGGAGCCGAGGCCAGGUCAGUUCAGCACACCUGCAUUCAGUUUCUACUUUGUGCCUGUGACUGCCCUGGACAUUGAGAUCCAGACGUAAAGACACAAUGACUGUUCUUGAGGUCGCCUCCAAAGUGUUCAGAUGUCCAGCUGAUACCAGUGGGGAAGCCAGGAGGAAUGACAAACUUGAAGUCAUGGAAUUGGAUUGCAGCCCUGAUUUACCACCAACUACACAUGACCUUGAGAAAUCUCUUAACAUCUCUGAGCCUCUGGUGAGUCUUCUGUGAAACGGGAGUGUUGGGCUAGAUGCUCUCCUAGGUUCCUUUCAGUGCAAAGGUUCCAUGACUCUUCAUCUCUAAAACAGCAACUUAUCAACAUUUUCUAAUUUCUUUACCAAAAACAAUCUCUUUGUACACAGAGCAUACAAAAUCCACUUGCUUUGAUUUAAAACAAAAGCAAGCACUUAUUGACCCAGUUUUCAGCUCUGAUAUUCCCCUGGAGCUGCUCCUGGGUACAUAGGCAUUCUGGAAGGCAUUACAUGCACCACCUUUAUGCCUGCCUGCGAGCCUUCCGGCCUCUCCUGUGCUCUGGGGCUGUCUGAGAAUCGGCCCCAUCCUUUCAGCCACAGAACCCUCACAUGAAGAGAAAAUGGACAACUAACCCCACAGACAUCACCAUCAUGUGCAAGCUGGCAUGUAAGGCCCUGACGUCUACUCUGGCCCUGCCUGAGCCUUACUGAGCUCCAACCUCACACCGUCCUGUGAGGAGGGAUGCCUGGAUCACUUCCAGGUUAUUCAUCCAUGUUCUUCACAGUCUGAAGUGAGUGUCAUCUUUAACAGCUUAGCAGUGACAAACACAUUCACCUCUAAUAAUGAAGAGAAAUGAUUUGGGUGCAUAAUUCCAUUUCACUGUGCAUUUCCUUUCCUUUAAAAACUGCCUCCUUUGCCAUGAGCAGGUCUAAAUACCCUGUAGUGUGAAAUGCCAACUCGAAUUUCUAACUACAAAAUUCAUGCAUGUUAGAAUUGAGAAAAUACAGAUAAUCACGAAGAAAGAAAAAGCAAGAUCAUUUAUAUUAUCUUAUUACCCAGAGAUAGCCACAGGGGCCCUGGAGUGUAUUCUUCCAGCCAUUCGUGUGUGUGUGUGUGUGUGUGGUGUGCAUCUGAGUUUUAACUAAAAAAGGACCACCCCUUGUUAAGGAACAAAGCAAAUUGCUAACGUAUAAAGGUAUGUAAGGUAUAUAUCUUUAUCCCUUAAUGGUGUAAAAAAAAUGGUGAUUAUCUUUCCCAAUACAUUAACACCCACCUUCAGCAUCAUUUUCAUGACUUCAAAGUAGUACACCCACACACAAAUCACUUAUUUAACCAAAUUCCUAGUGUUAGACAUCUAGAUCCUUCCCAUGUCUCCAAAAAGCAUGGUGUUCCCUAAAGCAACAUCACCAGACCACCCAAGUAAACCACUUGCUGUCUCCUACCUGGAUUCCUGGACCUCCUUCAUGGGUGAUCCCCCUUGCUUCCUGCCACCAGCCCAACUCCAAUGGGGACUUCUUUUGGUCACUCCGAGCCUCACUUGUAUCAGAACUUCUGGUGCCAUAGCUCAUGUUGGGUCAACUUCCAACUCACCUCAUGAACUUCCACCAGCUUUGUAUGAAAAGUCAGUCCCAAGGAUGCAGUGCUGUGCUGGUGGACAGGAUUCUCUUAAUCCAAACCCACUGAAAGGUCAAGAAUGAGGGUCCAGAGGUUGGGGCUCUGCAUCUCCCUUGCUCACCCUCCAGGAACAGGAGUCCUGCCCUAGAAUCCAAGCUGUGACUGGUGCCCAGCCUCUAGCAUGCCAAGUGCCCCUGUGCAGCAUGUUACUAAAGCCUUGGAAUAACACCACGAGGUACAUUCAUUAUUAUCUUCCUUUUACAUGGAGGGAACCCAACACAGAGGGGAUAGGUGACUUGUCACGGUCUAGUGGCUUGGGAGAUCUGGAAUUUAUACUGAGGUCUGUCUGACCCCGUCUGCCUUUGCUUUAUUAGAUAAUUAACCAGUAUUACCUGCCAAGGCCUCCUCAUGAGGCCCGCAGCCAGGCUGUGUAGGAACAAACAUGACCACUGAGCUUCAAGCACAUACCAUUCCUCCUUCUUCCCACGUCUACCUUGCGUGUGUUAGGAUAACUGUGAAACUGCUGUUAAAAACAAAGUCCUAAAGAUGGGCCAGGUGUGGUGACUCAUGCCUGCAAUCCCAGCACUUUGGGAGGUCAAGGCAAGAGGAUUGCUUGAGGCCAGGAGCUCAAGACCAGCCUGGGUGACAUAUCAAGAC
ensembl:lncRNA novel transcript